AAGGAGAAAUCCAGAGUGAAAUGAAAUAACGGUUUGGGGAGCAGAUGGUGCAAUAUCUCAUUCUUAAAAGUCGGAAUUAAAUCAUUGAUCCCAGAAGAAAGGGACCACCACAGUGCUACGGAAAACAGGAAUUGUGAGAAGUUAUGGGAUCCAUUUUAGCUUGAUUUACUCACAGACUCCUUAAGCACACUUCAUAAGAUGAGGAAACUGAGACACUGGAAGAGGAAGUAACUUGCCCAAUGUCACUCAGCCAGGAAGAGGUGGAACCCAGCAUUGAAAUCCAGACAGUCUAACUCCAAAACAAAUAAACAAUACCACCACACUUUUAUCUUCUAGGCUAUACAUUUCUAAUGGCCAAUGAAGAAAACAAACUGAAAACAAAAUUCCUCCUUCCUGCUCUUGCUUAUUCCUAAUGGCUGUUCUUUUUAGCUCAUGUAGAAAAUAAAGUAGUAACAUGUUUCAGUACUUAUUGUAGCUCUAGUAAUUUCAGCUUGUAAAUUUGCUUUGGAAACCUUAGUGUUUAAAUAUUAAUCAAACAGAUGCAACUUUCCAAGCAACUGUUGUCAGAGAAAGAUCAACAUUCGUUAGAUUUUUACUUACUGACAAGUUAAAAAUAAGAUUAUGGUAGCUUUCCUACCUCCUGAAAAUCUGUUGCUCUUUAAGCCCCUCGUCAGAUUCAAAAGAAAUAUUUUGCACUCAACUUUAAAGCAGAGAUAUAUAAAAAUCAGCAAAUAAAUGAAAAAGUGAUUAAAUUCUUUAUUAAAGAUUUACCAAAAAAUAAUCCUUUAACUAUGUAAUCCUACAAUUGUUUUCAAAUACAAAUGAUUUUCCCCAUGUUUAGAUGUAUGUAUUUAAUGAAUACAACUCAGUAUAAUGAUCUUCCUAAAAAUGCC
rnacentral:lncRNA from 1 species